ACCAGCAUGGCCGAGUGGUUAAGGCGUUGCACUCAAGAUACAAUGGACAGUUGUCUUCUCGGGUUCAAAUCCCACUCUUGGUA
rnacentral:tRNA from 1 species